rnacentral:misc_RNA from 1 species
GCAAACUUGGUCAUUUAGAGGAAGUAAAAGUCGUAACAAGGUUUCCGUAGGUGAACCUGCGGAAGGAUCAUUAUUGAAACAUUGUAAAGGAGAGUUGAGCUGGCCCUUCACGGGCAAGUGCUCGCUCUUCUUUCAAUCUUCAUCCACCUGUGCACUUUUUGUAGGGAGCUUUGAGAAAUGGGGCCUUAGGUCCUAGAGUAUCAGGGCUGUCUAUGUCUUUACAAACUAUAAAUGUAUGUUUUUGAAUGUCUUUUAUAAGGGUCUUAAUUGAACCUUUUAAAAACUAUACAACUUUCAGCAACGGAUCUCUUGGCUCUCGCAUCGAUGAAGAACGCAGC